UCUCAGUUCAGAUUGCAGGCUGCAACUCGCCUGCAUGAAGUCGGAAUUGCUAGUAAUCGCAGAUCAGCAUGCUGCGGUGAAUACGUUCCCGGGCCUUGUACACACCGCCCGUCACACCAUGGGAGUCGGUAACACCCGAAGUCGGUAGCCUAACCGUAAGGAGGGCGCCGCCGAAGGUGGGAUUGAUGACUGGGGUGAAGUCGUAACAAGGUAGC
rnacentral:rRNA from 1 species